UCGCAUUGAAGGCAUAUGUCGCAAGUGAGGUAAUCUUCACACAACCCAUGUAAUACAUAAGGGAAAGAGAUACAUAGUUGGCUUACAAUCGCCACUUCACACAAUUACAUAAAUAAACAUUACAUCAAUCAAAUACACUCAUGGCCCGACUACGGAACCAAAAUAAAAGAAGAACCCCAACUGCGACAAAGGUCCCCUAUCGACCCCAACUGGGCUCCACUACUGAUCAACUAGAAUGAAACAAAACAAAGGACAAGAUCUUCAUCGGGCUCCUCCUGAGCUUGGUUGCGUCAUCUGCACGGACUCAUUGGCACCUGCAAGCUGGUUUUGGAAGUAUCUGUGAGCCACAGGGACUCAGCAAUCUCGCACCCUCGCGAUCAAGACUAUUUAAGCUUAUGGGUAAGGUAAAGGUAUGAGGUGGAGCUGCAGCAAGCGACUAGCAUAUAUGGUGGCUAACAUACGCAAAUUAGAGCGAGAAGAGAAGGCAAAGCACGGUCGAUAAAAGUAUGAUCAAGAAGUGAUCCUAAAACAACCUACGUCAAGCAUAACUCCAACAACCGUGUUCACUUCCCAGACACAGCCGGAAAGAGACCAUCACGGUUACACACGCGGUUGAUUCAUUUUAAUUAAGGUCGACUUCAGGUUUUCUACAACCGGACAUUAACAAAUUCCCAUCUGCCCAUAACCGCGGGCACGGCUUUCGAAAGUUCAAAUCCCUGCAGGGGUGUCCCAACUUAGCCCAUGACAAGCUCUCAUGGUCAACGAAGGAAUAGACCUCCACCCGAGACAUUCCGAUCAGACUCGGUAUCCCGGUAUAACAAGACAUUUCGACAGGGUAAAACUAAACCAGCACCACCGCCCGAAUGUGCCGACAAAUCCCGAUAGGAGCUGCACAUAUCUCUUUCUCAGGGCACACCGGAUCGUCCAAACUUCCGGUAGGCCAGCCCAGAGUUGCCCCUGGUGGCCACCGGCGGCUGACAAGUUGGACCAACACUCAGAGGAGCACUGGCCCGGGGGGUAAAAUAAUGAUGACCCUCAGGAGCGCGACUCCCAAGGGAAAAGAAAAGGCUAGGUGGCAAAUGGUAAAACCAAUGUUGGGCAUUCCUGGAAGAGCUUUACUUAAGGCGAACUGUCAAGGGGUUCCCAUUAUAGCCCAACCGCGUAAGGGACGCAAAAUCCGGGAACAUAACACCGAUAUGACGGAAACUAGGGCGGCAAGAGUGGAACAAAACACCAGGCAUAAGGCCAAGCCUUCCACCCUUUACCAAGUAUAUAGAUGCAUUAAUUAAAAAGAUAUAUUGUGAUAUCCCAACAAGUAAACAUGUUCCCACAAUGAACAACAUCUCCAUGUUCCAACAAGGAACACACUUCAAUCUUCACCUGCAACUAACAACGCUAUAAGAGGGGCUGAGCAAAGCGAUAACAUAGCCAAUCAACGGUUUGCUAGGACAUGGUGGGUUAGAGGUUUGACAUGGCAAUUUGGGAGGCUGACAAGCAAAAGGUAGGCAUCAUAGCAUUGGCAUAGCAAAGAGCGAGCAAACUAGCAUAGCAAAGAUAGUAGUGAUUUCGAGGGUAUGAUCAUCUUGCCUGAAAUCCCGCAAGAAAGAAGAACGAGUCCAUGAAGAAGCCAAACGGACAUAGUCGAACGAAUCCUCACAACACGACGUUAUCGGAACCAACCCGAAGAAGCAACACCGGAAAAGAGCAAACAACAUAGUAAACAACCAUCACAUAAACAUGUCAUGAUGCACAAUCAAGUAUGAUGCAUGUCCGGUUUAAAUAUGCAUGGCAUGGCAAAGUGCACAAACGAUCUUACAAAUUAAGUGGAGCUCAAUAUGCAACGGGUUGCAUAUUGACGGAACACCACAUCCAUUAUUUAGUUCUCUCUCGGUUAUGAACCCAACAAGAUUAAAUGUUGCUAGCAUGGCAAGAGGGUGAAGCAAAGAAAAACCACCUAUCUAGGGAAGUUUAAAUGAGGCCGGAAACAACGAACAACGAUUCCGGUAAAUCCCCAUGUGCAUAUAUUAGGUUUGGUCCUGUUCUGCCCUAAACAUAAUUUUAGAGUUGUUAAGCAUGCAAAAUGAAGCCAUCAUGUUAAACUAGACAUUUUUCUACCCCAUUUACAUAUAAAGUUUAUUAAGUUCGGAGCUACGGUUAAUUAGUUAUGAAUUAAAGCAUUUUAACAUGGCAUAGGAGCAAAAAAUUAAUCAAACAACAUUUUAAACAUUUUAAACAUAGAUGAAAAUGGCAUAUUAUUAAUCUACACAAAAUUCUGAGCAAGUUUCAUAUAUAAAACAUUUUAAUCCGAUGCACGGUUAGUGAGUUAUUAAAUGCAUGAACCAGGGGGACUUUUCUGCAAAACGGGCAAACUCUGGAAAAUUGGACAAAUCGCAGAUCUGUAGAAAAACACAUGUGGGCCGAAUCUGGAACAGGGGCCGAACAGGGCAGGCGCUGGGAGCGGCUCACCCUGGGCUUUGGCCCGUCGGUGGGAGGAGGGAGGCCUGCAGGGGCUAUGCUGGACUGGGUAAGGCAGGCGACUGGGCUUCGGCGCAGGCGCGGUGUUGGGCCNNNNNNNNNNNNNNNNNNNNNNNNNNGGCGCACCUGGCAGCCCACACAGCUAGCCAUCUGGGCCGGUGCGGGGCCCAUCAAGGCGAUAGGAGGAACCGCAUCAUCCUCCUCGUGCUCCUAGGUGAGCAGGAAGCCAUGGAAGGCGGCGGCGGCGGCUUGACGUCGGUGAGGCACGGAGGAGUGCCCAGAGGUACGGAUCCGGACGGGAUCCACCUGAUCCGUCCGUUUCCGGCGCCGGUGGGGAGCUCCGGUGAGCGGGGCGACCAAGGCGGACGACGGGUGCCUACGGGAGAGAGAGAAAGAGGAUGAGAGGGAGAAAGAGGAGGCAGGUAGGGGAAGGAAGGAGAGCGGCGCGGUGACCUGGCCUGGGGAGAUGGCGGCACGCCGGCGAGGUGCACAACGGCGGCGGGGCCCAAGGUCGUCAACGGGAGGGGUGAUGGUGGCGCUCCCCCGAUCCAGCUCGGGGUCGAGCAGGAGGAGGGCGCGGGCUGCGCGAGGAACGGACGCGUCGGNNNNNNNNNNNNNNNNNNNNNNNNNNNNNNNNNNNNNNNNNNNNNNNNNNNNNNNNNNNNNNNNNNNNNNNNNNNNNNNNNNNNNNNNNNNNNNNNNNNNNNNNNNNNNNNNNNNNNNNNNNNNNNNNNNNNNNNNNNNNNNNNNNNNNNNNNNNNNNNNNNNNNNNNNNNNNNNNNNNNNNNNNNNNNNNNNNNNNNCGGGCGGCCGCGCGGGCCUGGGCGGGCCGCGCCUGGGCUCGGCGGGUCGCGGUGAAGUGGGGCACUAGGGAGGCGACGUGGCAGCGCCCGGUUGGCCAGGGCGACGCCUCAGGUGGCGGCUGGCCUUUGGCAACGCCCCAAGUGGCGACGGGAAGGUGGCUGCGCGCGGAAAUCGAGGAGAAGGUGGCUGGCGGCUGCGGGGAUUCCGAAGGGAAGGCUAGAAGUAGGUGGAGGGGGUUUAGGGUUCUAAAAAUGGAAGGGGAAGGUCUAUAUAUAGACAAGGGGGCUAUGUUAGGGGGAUUUUAGUCCGUUCCGGAGCCGUUCGAUCCCGAUCGGACGACCCGGAGCGGAGGGGGUUAGAUAGGUGGGCUAGUGGUCUGUGAAGAGAGGAGAGGAGUGCAGCCCGGCAACUGUUUCCGCAGACUAUAAUGUCGCUAUAGUUAUCCGUUGGGCUAUCAAACGAACUCCGAAUGCGAUGAAACCUGGCAGGCGGCCUACCUACAACAUAACAAGACCGCACGCCAACUCUCAUCCCAUUCUGAGAACAUUUUGCGGCCACUUAUAAAAUAAUAUUUUGGACAUGCCGCGGGCGCGUGCAAGUGUGUCUGGGCUCAGAACGGACAACGGACGAAACGAGGAGACCGGGACAAAUGCAAGUUUUGAAAACAUGAUGAUGCAAUGCACAUGAUGACAUGAUAAGAUGCAACACGCAAGCAAAUGACAUGGCAACGACGGCGAAUAACUGGACGACAACUGGCACAUCGGUCUCGGGGCGUUACAUUAUGCUACUACUGAAAAAGAAUUUUUAGCAGUUGUAUUUGCUUGUGAUAAGCUCAGACCUUAUAUUGUUGAUUCUAAAGUAACUUUUCACACUGAUCAUGCUGCUAUUAAAUACCUUAUGGAAAAGAAAUAUGCUAAACCUAGACUUAUUAGAUGGGUUCUCUUGCUAUAAGAAUUUGAUUUGCAUAUUAUUGAUAGAAAGGGAGUUGAGAACCCCGUUGCAGACAACUUGUCUAGGUUAGAGAAUGUUCUUGAUGACCCACUACCUAUUGAUGAUAGCUUUCCUGGUGAACAAUUAAAUGUCAUAAAUGCUUCUGGUACUGCUCCAUGGUAUGCUGAUUAUGCUAAUUAUAUUGUUGCUAAAUUUAUACCACCUAUUUUCACAUACCAGCAAAAGAAAAGGUUCUUCUAUGAUUUAAGGCAUUACUUGUGGGAUGACCCACAUCUUUAUAAAGGAGUAGAUGGUGUUAUUAGACGUUGUGUACCUGAGCAUGAACAGGAACAGAUCCUAUGCAAGUGUCACUUUGAAGCCUAUGGAGGACACCAUGCUGGAGAUAGAACUGCACAUAAGGUAUUGCAAUCCGGUUUCUAUUGGCCUAAUCUCUUCAAGGAUGCCCGUAAGUUUGUCUUGUCUUGUGAUGAAUGUCAAAGAAUUGGUAAUAUUAGUAGACGUCAGGAAAUGCCUGUGAAUUAUUCACUUGUUAUUGAACCAUUUGAUGUUUGGGGCUUUGAUUAUAUGGGACCGUUUCCUUCCUCUAAUGGGUAUACACAUAUUUUAGUUGUUGUUGAUUACAUUACUAAGUGGGUAGAAGCUAUUCCAACUAGUAGUGCUGAUCAUAACACCUCUAUUAAGAUGCUUAAAGAAGUUAUUUUUCCGAGGUUUGGAGUCCCUAGAUAUUUAAUGACUAAUGAUGGUUCACAUUUUAUUCAUGGUGCUUUUCGUAAAAUGCUUGCUAAGUAUGAUGUUAAUCAUAGAAUUGCAUCUCCAUAUCACCCGCGGUCUAGUGGUCAAGUGGAAUUGAGUAAUAGAGAGCUCAAAUUAAUUUUGCAAAAGAUUGUUAAUAGAUCUAGAAAAAAUUGGUCCAAGAAACUUAAUGAUGCAUUAUGGGCUUAUAGAACUGCAUAUAAAAAUCUUAUGGGUAUGUCUCCGUAUAAAAUGGUUUAUGGUAAAGCAUGUCACUUACCUCUUGAAUUAGAACAUAAGGCAUAUUGGGCUAUUAAAGAGCUCAACUAUGAUUUCAAACUUGCCGGUGAGAAGAUGCUUUUUGACAUUAGCUCACUUGAUGAAUGGAGAACCCAAGCCUAUGAAAAUGCCAAGCUGUUCAAAGAAAAAGUUAAAAGAUGGCAUGACAAAAGGAUACAAAAGCGUGAGUUUAAUGUAGGUGAUUAUGUAUUGCUAUCAACUCUUGUUUGAGAUUUUUUUGCAGGCAAACUCCUCUCUAAAUGGGAAGGUCCUUACGUCAUCGAGGAGGUCUAUAGUUCCGGUGCCAUGAAAAUCAACAACUUCGAAGGCACAAAUCCGAGGGUGGUGAACGAUCAAAGAAUCAAACAUUAUAUCUCAGGCGAUCCUAUAAAAGUUGAAACUAAUGUUAUUGAAACCGUAACCCCGGAGGAAUAUAUAAGGGACACUUUCCAGAAUGUUUCGGACUCCAAAAAGGAAUAGGUACGUGGUACGGUAAGUAAACCGAGUCCAAAACAGUUCUAAUGGACAUUUUUCUCCGUUUUGGAAUAUUUAAGAAAAUAGGAAAAUAAGAAGCAGAUCGGAAAGGACACGAGGCUUCCAUGAGGGUGGAGGGUGCGCCCUACCCCCCUGGGCGCGCCCCCUGCCUCGUGGGCACCUCGUGCACUCUCCGGACUCCGUUUUCUUGCAUGAUACUUCUUUUGGUCGGUAAAAAUUCACUAUAUAAUCUCCCGAAAGUUUUGACCAUCGUAUCACGCAAAUAUAUCUUGUUUUUGUUUCGAGCUAUUUUCUGCCAGGGUUGUCAAGGCCAGGCAUCAUGUCGUCUCCCUCCUCCUCCAACAAUGAGGGUAACGAUGCUUGGCUAAUGAAGAUAGAGCUGAAGAGAGAAGAACCCGGAGAGAUCAACAAGGAUGAUGGGAUCAAGAAAGCCACGGGGGAUCAAGUCCAGGCAGUAGCAGAAGAAGACAUCCUUCAACCUCACCACAAUCUCUUUAACCCAAUGGAGAUUGAAGCUUUCAAGAUGAUUGAGUUAGCUCGCAUUCAAAACAAGUAUCUCACAAGUGAAAAUAUUUUGUUGAAGGAGCAUAUCAUCGCACUCAAGGGCAUUAUCCGCAAAUUGGAGGAUCUCCUAUGCUCGAUGUGUGACUAGACAUCAUCGCCAACACCUUCUUGACCAACAAAGAAGAACUGAGCAUCGGGUAUGGGCACUCCCCUUGGCAACUGCCAAGCUUGGGGGAGUGCCCCAGUAUCGUAUCACCAUCACUUUUACCUUUACCGUUUUUCUUAGUUCGAUCCUUUUGAUAAUAUCUUGAUCUAGUAGAAUAAAGUUUUAGUAUGAUCUAGUUGUGAGUUUUGCUUUAUGAUCCUUCUAUGUAAUCGAGUCCAUGAGCUAUAUAUAAUAAAGAUUAGUGUUGAGUCAAGGGCUUGAUUAUUUUGCUAUGAUCUUGAGGGAAUGAAAUAAAAGAGGAGAAAUAAAAAGAAAUAAAGGGAUCAUAUGGAUCUUAUGGAGAGUAAUGGCUUCACAUAUAAAGAGUAUGAUGAAUAAAAAUUGUUGAAAGUUGACAAACAUAGUUUUGGUCAUCGUUGCAAUUAAUAGGAAGUAAUAAAGAAAGAGAGGUCUUCACAUAUAAAUAUACUAUCUUGGACACCUUUUAUGAUUGUGAGCACUCAUUAAAGUAUGAUAUGCUAAAGAGUUGACGUUGGACAAGGAAGACAGCGUAAUGGGUUAUGUUUUCUUACAUCUGAGAUAAAUUAUAUUGUCAUGGAUCAUCCAACAUGUUGAGCUUGCCUUUCCCUCUCAUGCUAGCCAAGUUCUUUGCACCAAGUAGAAAUACUAUUUGUGCUUCCAAAUAUCCUUAAACCCAGUUUUGCAAUGACAGUCCACCAUACCUACCUAUGGAUUGAGUAAGAUCCUUCAAGUAAGUUGUCAUCGGUGCAUGCAAUAAAAAUUGCCUUCUAAAUAUGUAUGAUUUAUUAAUGUAGAGAAAAUAAGCUUUAUACGAUCUAGUGAUAUGGAAGAAAUAAAAGCGACGGACUGCAUAAUAAAGGUCUAUAUCACAAGUGGCAAUAUAAAGUGACGUUCUUUUGCAUUAAGAUUUUGUGCAUCCAGCCAUAAAAGCGCAUGACAACCUCUGCUUCCCUCUGCAAAAGGGCCUAUCUUUUACUUUUAUCUUCUACCUUAUAUAAGAGUCAUGGUGAUCUUCACCUUUCCUUUUUACAUUUUAUUGUUUGGCAAGCACAAUGUGUUGGAAAGAUCCUGAUAUGUAUGGCUAAUUGGAUGUGGGUUUGCAUGAACUGUUAUUGUUGACAUUACCCUUGAGGUAAAACAUUGGGAGGCAAAACUAUAAGCCCCUAUCUUUCUCUGUGUCCGAUUAAAACUCCAUACCCAUAAAUAUUGCGUGAGUGUUAGCAAUUGUGAAAGACUAAAUGAUAGUUGAGUAUGUGGACCUGCUGAAAAGCUCUUAUAUUGACUCUUUCCUAUGUUAUGAUAAAUUGCAAUUGCUUCAAUGACUGAGAUUAUAGUUUGUUAGUUUUCAAUGAAGUUUCUGAUUCAUACUUGAAACUGUGAUUGAAUUGUUACUUUAGCAUAAGAGGUCAUAUGACAACAUAUAUAUAUAUAUAUAUAUAUAUAUAUAUAUAUAUAUAUAUAUGUUGCUGUUCUAAGAAUGAUCAUGAUGCCCUCAUGUCUGUAUUUUAUUUUAUCGAUACCUCUAUCUCUAAACAUGUGGACAUAUUUUUCGAUUUCGGCUUUCGCUUGAGGACAAGCGAGGUCUAAGCUUGGGGGAGUUGAUACGUCCAUUUUGCAUCAUGGUUUUAUAUCGAUAUUUAUUGCAUUAUGGGAUGUUAUUACACAUUAUGCCCCAAUACUUAUGCCUAUUCUCUCUUAUUUUACAAGGUUUACAUGAAGAGGGGGAAUGCCGGCAGCUGGAAUUCUGUGCUGGAAAAGGAGCAAAUAUUAGAGACCUAUUUUGCACAGCUCCAAAAGUCCUGAAACUUCACGGAAGUUAUUUUCAGAAUAUAUAAAAAAUACAAAGCGAAGAAUGUUGGGGAACGUAGCAGAAAUUCAAAAUUUUCCUACGCGUCACCAAGAUCUAUCUAUGGAGAAACCAGCUACGAGUAGAAGGAGAGUGCAUCUACAUACCCUUGUAGAUCGCUAAGCGGAAGCGUUCAAGUGAACGGGGUUGAAGGAGUCGUUCUCGUCGUGAUUCAAAUCACCGAUGAUCAAGUGCCGAAUGCACGGCACCUCUGCGUUCAACACACGUACAGCCCGGUGACGUCUCCCACGCCUUGAUCCAGCAAGGAGAGAGGGAGAGGUUGAGGAAGACUCCAUCCAGCAGCAGCACAACGGCGUGGUGGUGGUGGAGGAGCGUGGCAAUCCCGCAGGGCUUCGCCAAGCACCAUGGGAGAGGAGGAGUAGGGAGAGAGGUAGGGUUGCACCAAGAGGGAGAGAACUCAUGUGUAUGGCAGCCCCAAACCUCAUCUAUAUAUAGGGGGAAGGGGGGGCUGCGCCCCCUUUAGGGUUUCCUACCCCCAAGGGGUGCGGCCAGCCCUAGAUAGCAAAGGGGAGGCGGCCAAGGGGGGGGGAGGAGAGGGAGGCGCACCAAUAUGGGCCUUAAGGCCCAUCUGGACUAGGGUUUGCCCCCUCCCACUCUCCCUUGCGCCUUGGCCCCCUUGUGGGGGGCGCACCAGCCCUCCUAGGGGCUGGUCCCCUCCCACACUUGGCCCACGCAACCUUCUGGGGCAGGUGGCCCCACUUGGUGGACCCCCGGGACCCUCCCGGUGGUCCCGGUACAAUACCGAUAUCGCCCGAAACUUUUCCGGUGACCAAAACAGGACUUCCCAUAUAUAAAUCUUUACCUCCGGACCAUUCCGGAACUCCUCGUGACGUCCGGGAUCUCAUCCGGGACUCCGAACAACAUUCGGUAACCACAUACAAACUUCCUUUAUAACCCUAGCGUCAUCGAACCUUAAGUGUGUAGACCCUACGGGUUCGGGAGACAUGCAGACAUGACCGAGACGUUCUCCGGUCAAUAACCAACAACGGGAUCUGGAUACCCAUGAUGGCUCCCACAUGUUCCACGAUGAUCUCAUCGGAUGAACCACGAUGUCAAGGACUUAAUCAAUCCCGUAUUCAAUUCCCUUUGUCUAUCGGUAUGUUACUUGCCCGAGACUCGAUUGUCGGUAUCCAAUACCUUGUUCAAUCUCGUUACCGGCAAGUCACUUUACUCGUUCCGUAACACAUCAUCCCGUGAUCAACUCCUUGGUCACAUUGCGCAUAUGAUGAUGUCCUACCGAGUGGGCCCAGAGAUACCUCUCCGUUUACACGGAGUGACAAAUCCCAGUCUCGAUCCGCAUAAAACAAUAGAUACUUUCGGAGAUACCUGUAGUGCACCUUUAUAGUCACCCAGUUACGUUGUGACGUUUGAUACACCCAAAGCACUCCUACGGUAUCCAGGAGUUACACGCUCUCAUGGUCAAAGGAAGAGAUACUUGACAUUGGCAAAGCUCUAGCAAAUGAACUACACGAUCUUUUGUGCUAGGCUUAGGAUUGGGUCUUGUCCAUCACAUCAUUCUCCUAAUGAUGUGAUCCCGUUAUCAACGACAUCCAAUGUCCAUAGCCAGGAAACCAUGACUAUCUGUUGAUCACAACGAGCUAGUCAACUAGAGGCUCACUAGGGACAUAUUGUGGUCUAUGUAUUCACACGUGUAUUACGAUUUCCGGAUAAUACAGUUAUAGCAUGAAUAAAAGACUAUUAUCAUGAACAAAGAAAUAUAAUAAUAACUUAUUUAUUAUUGCCUCUAGGGCAUAUUUCCAACAGUCUCCCACUUGCACUAGAGUCAAUAAUCCAGUUCACAUCGCCAUGUGAUUAACACUCACAGGUCACAUCGCCAUGUGACUAAUACCCAAGAGUUUACUAGAGUCAGUAGUCUAGUUCACAUCACUAUGUGAUUAACACUCAAUGAGUUUUAUGUUUGAUCAUGUUGCUUGUGAGAGAGGUUUUAGUCAACGGGUCUGAACCUUUCAGAUCCGUGUGUGCUUUACAAAUCUCUAUGUCAUCUCCUAGAUGCAGCUACCACGCUCUAUUUGGAGCUAUUCCAAAUAACUUUUCUGCUUGGAGCUAUUCUAAAUUAUUGCUCCAUUAUAUGUAUCCGGUCUCUCUACUCAGAGCUAUCCGGAUAGGUGUCAAGCUUGCAUCGACAUAACCCUUUACGACGAACUCUUUUACCACCUCCAUAAUCAAGAAAAUUCCUUAGUCCACUAGUUACUAAGGAUAACUUUGACCGCUGUCUGUGAUCCAUUCUUGGAUCACUCUUGUACCCCUUGACUAACUCAUGGCAAGGCAAACUUCAGGUGCGGUACACAGCAUAGCAUACUGUAGAGCCUAUGUCUUAAGCAUAGGAGACGACCUUCGUCCUUUCUCUCUAUUCUGCCAUGGUCGAGCUUUAAGUCUUAACUUCGUACCUUACAACUCAGGCAAGAACUUCUUCUUUGACUGAUCCAUCUUGAACACCUUCAAGAUCAUGUCAAGGUAUAUGCUCAUUUUGAAAGUAUUAUUAAGCAUUUUGAUCUAUCCUUAUAGAUCUCGAUGCUCAAUGUUCAAGUAGCUUAAUCCAGGUUUUCUAUUGAAAAACACCUUUCAAAUAACCCUAUAUGCUUUCUAGAAAUUCUACAUCAUUUCUGAUCAACAUAUACUCAUCAGAAAUUCUAUAGUGCUCCCACUCACUUCUUUGGAAAUACAAGUUUCUCAUAAACUUUGUACAAACCCAAAAUCUUUGAUCAUCAUCAAAGCAUACAUUCCAACUCCGAGAUGCUCACUCCAGUCCUUAGAAGGAUCGCUGGAGCUAGCAUACAUUUUAGCAUCCUUAGGAUCGACAAAAACUUUCUGAUUGUAUUACCUACAAUCUUUCCUCACGAAAACUGGUAAGGAAACUCGUUUUGAUAUCCAUCUGCCAGAUUUCAUAAAUACAGCUAAUGCUAACAUGAUGUAACGCCCUCGAUGCGGCUAUAUCUCCCACGUGUCGAAGCACGACUUAGAGGCAUAACCGCAUUGAAAGCAAUGUCGCAAGUGAGGUAAUCUUCACACAACCCAUGUAAUACAUAAGGGAAAGAGAUACAUAGUUAGCUUACAAUCGCCACUUCACACAAUUACAUGAAUAAAGCAUUACAUCAUCCAGAUACAAUCAAGGUCCGUCUAUGGAACCAAAAUAAAAGAAGAACCCCAAAUGCGACAAAGGUCCCCGAUCGACCCCAACUGGGCUCCACUACUGAUCAACUAAAACGAAACAACACAAAGGGCAAGAUCUUCAUCGAGCUCCUCCUUGAGCUUGGUUGCGUCUCCUGCUCGGUAAUAUAGGCACCUGCAAACUGGUUUUGAAAGUAUCUGUGAGCCACGGGGACUCAGCAAUCUCGCACCCGCGAGAUCAAGACUAUUUAAGCUUAUAGGAAGGAUGGAGUGAUGAGGUGGAGCUGCAGCAAGCGACUAGCAUAUAUGGUGGCUACAAUCGCAAAAGAGAGCGAGAAGAGAAGCAAGGCACGGUCGUGAAGCUAGUAGCGAUCAAGAAGUGAUCCUGAAACUACUUACGUCAAACAUAACUCCAACACCGUGUUCACUUCCCGGACUCCGCCGAGAAGAGACCAUCACGGUUACACACACGGUUGAUGUAUUUUAAUUAAGGUCAACUUCAGGUUUUCUACAACCGGACAUUAACAAAUUCCCAUCUGCCCAUAACCGCGGGCACGGCUUUCGAAAGAUAAUACCCUGCAGGGGUGUCCCAACUUAGCCCAUAACAAGCUCUCACGGUCAACGAAGGAAUAGACCUCCACCCGAGACAUUCCGAUCAGACUCGGUAUCCCGGUACAACAAGACAUUUCGACAGGGUAAAACUAAACCAGCAACACCGCCCGAAUGUGCCGACAAAUCCCGAUAGGAGCUGCACAUAUCUCUUUCUCAGGGCACACUCAGAUUGUCCAAGGUACGGGUAGGCCAACCCAGAGUUGCCCCUGGUGGCCACCGGCAGCUGACAGGUUGGACCAACACUCAGAGGAGCACUGGCCCGGGGGGGUAAAAUAAUGAUGACCCUUGAGUCUGCAGAACCCAAGGGAAAGAAAAGGCUAGGUGGCAAAUGGUAAAACCAAUGUUGGGCAUUGCUGGAAGAGCUUUACUUAAGACGAACUGUCAAGGGGUUCCCAUAAUAGCCCAACCGCGUAAGGAACGCAAAAUCCGGGAACAUAACACCGAUAUGACGGAAACUAGGGCGACAAGAGUGGAACAAAACACCAGGCAUAAGACCGAGCCUUCCACCCUUUACCAAGUAUAUAGAUGCAUUAAUUAAAUAAGAUAUAUUGUGAUAACCCAACAAGUAAACAUGUUCCAACAAGGAACAACAUCUCCAUGUUCCAACAAGGAACAAACUUCAAUCUUCACCUGCAACUAACAACGCUAUAAGAGGGGCUGAGCAAAGCGGUAACAUAGCCAAUCAACGGUUUGCUAGGACAUGGUGGGUUAGAGGUUUGACAUGGCAAUUUGGGAGGCUGACAAGCAAAUGAUAGGCAUCGUAGCAUUGGCAUGGCAAAAGAGCGAGCAAACUAGCAUAGCAAAGAUAGCAGUGAUUUCGAGGGUAUGAUCAUCUUGCCUGAAAUCCCGCAAGGAAGAAGAACGAGUCCAUGAAGAAGACAAACGGACGUAGUCGAACGAAUCCUCACAACUCCGGAACAAAACCGAAGCUAACGAGAGAAGCAACCCGGAAAGAAACAAACAACAUAGUAAACACACAAGCAUAAACAAGUCAUGAUGCACAAACAAGUAUGAUGCAUGUCCGGCUUAAUGAGGCAUGGCAUAGCAAAGUGCAACAAACAAUACUACAAGUUAAGUGGAGCUCAACAUGCAACGAGGUGCAUGUUGACGGAACACCACAUCAAUUAUUUAGUUAUCUCUCGUUUAAGCUACCCAACAAUAUUAACUGUUGUUAAACAUGGCAAGAGGUGAAGCAUAAUAUAAACUAUACCAUCUAAACAAUUUAAAUGGGGCCGGAUAUAAAAACAACAAAUCCGGUAAAGCCCCAUAUGCAUUUAGCAAUUUAAUGCAACAACAAGUUUAAACAUUUUAAAUGUUGUUAUCAUGAUGCGGAUGACAUAUACAAGUUUUAUGCAAUUUUAUGAAAAUGUUGACAUGAGCAUGUUAUGAAGCAUUUGGUCACCAUGGCGGAACAAAAAGGGUGCCACGGCGGCGAAACAAAAAUGGUGCCACGGCAACAUUCCGGUCCCGAUAGCUCAUGGAGAUACCGGUGCAAAAGGAAAAGUGACGAGAGCGUGACAUGCGAUAGAAGGUGGGGUGAUCCCGGAUACCGGGUUCCCACAAGAUGGUGGCAUGGCAACGAGGUGAAACAUGCACGCGACAAUUUCGGACACGGUGCAAACAUAAGCAUCUCAUACAACAAAGCAUUCGUUCCACGGCGGUCGUUCUCGGUGGUUAUACCUUCGAAGAGUGCAUUCGGGGCGGAACGCGUUUCGUAGAGGAAGUAGUCGUUCACGGGCCGUAGUGGAGGUAGUCGUACACGGCGUAGUGGAAGUCGUUGUACACGGCGACGAUAGUUGUACACGUUCGUUUCGUAGAUGUCCAGGGUCAUCGGUAGAGGUACACGUUUCGGAGAGGAACUUGUCGUAUCCAUGUAGUCGUUCACGUGUGACCGUGGUGUAGUCAUACAUGUCGGCGACAGUGGAACUUGGCGGUCUCGACGGUCAUCGGGGUACUUGUUGGUCCGGUCUUGGCGUCCGCAAUCGUAGUGGUACUUGGCGGUUUCGUGUAGUCGAACUUGACGAUCCAGGUAUGGGUCUUGGCGGUCUUAACGAAUCCAAGGACAGAACCAUGGCGAGGUUCAGCAGCUCCCCCACGUCCAUGAUGAAAAACGAAGCUCGGGCAGGGAGUCGGAGCAGCAAGCGGGGCUCGCUGGGCCUCGGCGCCGGUGCAGGGACUCCGGCAGGCGGGACUUGGCGGCAGCAGCAGGUCCAGCAGGGGUCGCCGGGGCUGGACGGCACGAGGACGACGCCGACGAGCUCCACGGCCACGGCGGACGGCAGAACUGGACGGAUUCGAGGGCAGGGAGACGGCUUGGCGACGCGGGACUUGAGGCGCAGGAGGAUGAUGGCUGCGGGCACGGGUGCUCGAGGAGCUCCUCUCCUCGGGCGCUCGGGCGACGGGGACGCCAUGGAGACCAGGCGCGAGGUGGAGGGAGCAGCUCCGUCGUGGCGGGGUACGAGGCGAGGACGAGGAAGCCAAUGGGAGGCGUCGCGCACGGGGUGGCCCUCCUGGUGGUCGCCAACGGCGGCGGGUGGCGACGGGGCUCCGGCCUGGUGGCUGCUCGGGGAUCCAGCAGGCGGGGCUCGCGCCGCGGCGGCGGCUGAUAGACGAGGAGGCGGGCGAAGUGGGGCUUCGGCUGUGGGGCGCUGCGGGAUGAAGAGGGAGCGAGGAGAAGGGAGAAGACGAGCGCGAGGAGAGGGAGAGAUGGGGAUCGGGCGCAGGAGGUGAGGCGUGCGUGCGGGUGUGGUGGCGGGCAGGGAACGAGAGGGAGAGAGAUGCGGAGGAGGGGGUCGGGCUAGGUUAGGAGGGUUAGGUGGGCUGGGCCUGAGAGGCCGGUUGGGUCGGCCCAGGUGGAGAGGAAAUGGCCAGAGGCCUGGCUGGGCUUACCUCUCUCUUCUCUCUAUCUUAUAUUUACUUUAGCAGAAAAGCAAAAAGAGAGAAGAAAAGAAAAGGAGGGUUAGGGAAAGAAAAUGCGCAAGGGGAUAAUUUCCUUGGACUCACAAAAAUAUGCUCGUACCAAGAAAAAUAGAAAGAGGCAUGAUUGAAAGAUUAAAUUCAAACUCAUUUGAUUUAAAUUCAAAUGAUUUGAAUAGGAAGUGAGGUUUGGGAAGGUCCAAAAAUGUUCGGAUUUUUGGUGGAGCUCCGGAAAAUGAUGAAAUAAUUUAUGGGCAGAGUUGGAGACCAAGAAUUAAGAUAAUAAAGGCAUUGGGAUAUUUUGCAAGUGUGUUAAGGUGAUUCCAAAACAAUGGAAUAUUUUAUUAUAGCUCCCUAAAUAUCGGGAGGGUAUGUUAUAAAGAGAAGUCACCCUUCCCUCGAUUUAAAUGGAUCAAAGAUCCAUACAAUUUAUUUAGUUGAGUUUUAAAAAUUAAAUGGCAUGAUGGCAUGAUGACAUGAUGCAAUGCAAAAAUAAAAGAGCAAGCACAAAAGAAACACAUGGCAAAACUCGGAAUAGCUGGAAGUCUUCUGAAGCAUCGGUCUUGGGGCGUUACAACACUCCACCACUACGAGAGGAUCUCGUCCCGAGAUCUAGGAUGGCACCGGAGGGAAACGGAAGAGGAAGAUAAGCGGUAAAACUAAGUUGCUUCUUCGACCAAUGAGUGAAACCAUGAACCUUGAGAGGUUGAGAAAUUAGAGAUGAACGAGAUUGCAAACAAUCCGUUAGAAAAGAGGAACGAGGAACAUUACGGGAACUUGAAGGUUGCAAAGACACGAAUCAAGAGUUUAAUGGACAAGAUAGAAUUCGAAACCACUCCAGUUAAAACAAGAUGAGAGAGAAAGAAUUUGGGCAGCACUCCGGUUGAAGAUGGAAGGAAAAGAACAUGAAUUUGGCAAAAUGAAAGCACUUGGAUGAGACUCCGGUUAAAUGGAUAAGCAAGGAAAAGAACACGAUCCUCACAAUUCGAGAUGAUGAGUGAAAAGCACAACAUCACAAUGCCUCCGGAACGAAAGAAUAGAAGUUAGAUUGUUGGGAUAAAGGGGCGGAGAAGGAAAUGUCAACUCCUAACACAAUUUAAUUUGGAAAGCAUCCUUGCAGGAAGGUUAGAACAAAGUUGUUGGAAGACCAACAACGAAAAGAAUAAGUUUGUAGUGGGCUUAUGGAACACAUCUCAAAACUAUGAGGUGAAAUUCUGCCACUAAUGGAAAUGAUAUAUUAGAUUGAUAACAACAAGGAGAUGACAAGCUUAAUUCACCGGGAGGAUAGAUGAAUAACUUGGGUCAUUUAUAACCAACAUAGAUAGCAACAAGCCAUAGGGAAGGCUUUAGGUGAAAUCUAUACCAAGAUAACUCCAACAAAGAGAUUAAUGGAUUUAAAAUAUCUCAUACUUGAUAACUUGUGAAACACGAAGCACGAAGGGAAAUUAUCAAGAAUGACAUAAUACCACCUCCAAUGAUAUGGUAGAAAGGAAAUGCACUCCGGAUAGCAAGAUGAAGAAUACUUGAGUUUCUUAGAAAAGAAUCUCGAUGAACACUUUGAGAAGAAAUAUAAAUCCUUGAUGAACCAUCAUGUAGAACUUCCAUGAAGAACUCCGGUAACAAAAAGAUGAUCCAACGGAAGGAAAAAGAAGUUGAAAACACAAGGUGAAUCCUUGCAAUGAUUUAGAUAGAGAACUCCGGGAAAGAAAAGAUGAGCAACUCGAACUGAGAAUGUGAUACGAUGAACCACUCCGGAAAAGAAAUUGAAUAAACUUGAUGAAACAAGAAUAAGAAUUAUGUUAUGUCUAUCCUUCACCAAUUAAAUUGAUGACAAUCAACGGAUUUGACAUAUUACUUAUUCUCGUAGAAAAGAUUAAGAGAGAUAUAACAUAAACUUGAGAAGGUCUUCAACGAACCACCGGUAGGAUUGGAACAACAAAUGAAUUGAUAUGAUAAGAAAGAAGAAAAAAUCUUGAACGAACCAUCGGAAGAAUUAGCAAUGAAAGUAACAAAGGCACAAUUCACCGGGAAGAAUUGGAAAACGAAUGACGGUACUUGAGGCGAUUUAGAAACAUGAGAACGAAGAGAUCAUGAGCUGACUAGAGGGUAUAUGAACGAAUCACCGGUAAGAUUUGGAGAACAAGAGUUGAAGGUUGAGAAUGAGUAAUAUUCAGAAAUGAUGGCAUUCGGAUUAUCAAGAAAGGAAGCAACUCCUGAAAUGCAUCAGAUGGUUGAAAAGAAUUGUCACAAUCAAAACAAUUAUGAGGAUAGCAACAAGCUAGAAUCACGAAUCUCUGAGAGAGCGGAUAGAUAUGGAGGAAAAGUCUUCAUCGGUCUUCAAUAUCUGAGAAUGACGAUGAGAAACACUACCAAGAAUUAUUUAGACACUCCGGAAGAAUCCAAACGAAGAGGUUGAGCCAACGGUGAAGAGAAUUUGAAAGAUCUUGGAGAAAACAUUUGACUGAUGAUAAAUCAUUCUUAUGUCAAACUUCGAAAAGAAUUUUCAGAAUACCUUCGGGAAAAUAAGAAGAGUCAGGUAAGAUCCUGGAAAAAGACCUGUGGGUUAGGGCCCACUCAAAAGAAAACACCGUUGAACGAUUUAAAAGAGAGGCUGCACCGGUUGAGUUAAAUGGCUUGAAUGAGGGAACAUCCUCGAAAGAACUUGAACGAAAGUAGAGUGGAAACACGAAUCUUCGAGAUAUCUUGAGCACUCCGGAACAAUAGAAUAGCGAGAAAUGAAUAAAUAUGAGGAGCACCGUCAAGAGAAGGUAUUUGAAACGAGAAAAAGGGGAUAUAAUCGACAAAUCUUGACUUGAAUCCAUCGUAGAAGAGAAAAGACAAAGAAUGAUAACUUGAAGCUCCGUUACGAUCUUCAUGAGAAUCACCGGAUAAGAAUAUUGACGGAAAAGAAUAGAGAGAUUUCCACCAAUAAAAUGGAUACUUGAUUAAAAUAAAUGAGUCCUUGAAGAAAAAGGGGUGGGAGGGCGGGAAAACAAAAACAACUUGGGACGGAUGAAACAAACACCGUUGAGAAAACUGAGAGGUGAUCUUGCGAAUGUUGAAAUGAUCGGAUCCACUUGAAGAGAAAGACGCUGGUUGAAAAGGAUUGACAUGACAAUCUCGAUUGUCGAGAAGGAUUGGUAUUCACAUCGGAGUAUGAGAACACCAUUUCGGAAAGGUAUGGAAUCAACACUUGACAUUGAAGCAACUCGAAUACCACAACUCAAAACAAAAACAAAGGACUGGCUUGCAGAAUAAGCCGGAACAAACAUAUGAUAGAGAUUCCGUCCGAAGUUUUCGUGGUGGGGCCCACACGGGCUCGAGUGUACAACACCAUCAUGUACAAGGCAGUGCACAUGACAUACGAAGUGUCCCCGAACCAGCAUAGCCAAGGGUUCUUUAAGACACAACGAGACCACUGUAAAAACGACCGUGGAAAGGCGGACCACUAGACGUCGAACCCCAAUUGCAUAUCAUACAUCUGUCGAAAAGAUAUCCAAAGAGCUACUUGAAUUCCCACCUAUGAAACUCCCGAAAUUUUCCGGUUAUGCAAUCAAGUGUUGGGGAUACAGGGGAAGCAUAAUAUCUCACCCAAACUAGCAAAUCCUACAUCCAGCUGUAUCCAUCCUUCAACACAUAACCAAAAAAAAACUUCGGAAAUCCUCUACCUCAACCUUCGAAAAGCAUCCGUUAUACAAGUUAUGGCGAUACUCCCGAACUCCCGCCCCAGUACUGGGUGGCGUCGAGGUUAUCUCACCAACAACUGCAUAAAAGAGAUUUUCGAUGUCGGCGUACUAAACUCAGGUAUUCCAGAACUGCAACGAUAAAAUUAUGACGACAACACCUCAGUGCUCAACUCCCUGGGACACUUCCACUAAACCCCUGACAGGAGGCACCAAGAACAAUGUUCUCGUCAUAAAACCAUCGGAACGAUUCCAAGAUACCCGAGUGAUCCUAAAAUUUUUUAGUGAAAUUUGAGAAGAGAAGAGUCAAAACUCUACGUCAGGAUGCCUUACCAGAGCGAUGGGGAGACUGGGAAGUAAAAAGAAUUCCUAAACUCUCCGAUAUAUAAUUCCUAAAUGACUAAAAACAUUUUUUUCUAGACUCAAACUCGGCCGCUAAAAACGAUCAAGCAAUGGGGCUCCUAAGGUCGGGGAAGGCUCUGAUUACCAACUUGUAACGCCCUCGAUGCGGCUAUAUCUCCCACGUGUCGAAGCACGACUUAGAGGCAUAACCGCAUUGAAAGCAAUGUCGCAAGUGAGAUAAUCUUCACACAACCCAUGUAAUACAUAAGGGAAAGAGAUACAUAGUUGGCUUACAAUCGCCACUUCACACAAUUACAUGAAUAAAGCAUUACAUCAUCCAGAUACAAUCAAGGUCCAUCUACGGAACCAAAAUAAAAGAAGAACCCCAAAUGCGACAAAGGUCCCCGAUCGACCCCAACUGGGCUCCACUACUGAUCAACUAAAACGAAACAAC
rnacentral:lncRNA from 1 species